rnacentral:rRNA from 1 species
UGCCAGUUGGGGCAGCUUACCAUGCAAGUCGAGCGCCCCGCAAGGGGAGUGGCACACGGGUGAGUAACGCAUGGGAACAUACCCUUUCCUGCGGAAUAUCUCCGGGAAACUGGAAUUAAUACCGCAUACGCCCUACGGGGGAAAGAUUUAUGAUAGGUAUUUGGCCGCGGGUUGGAUACGCAUGUUGUGGGUAAAGCUACCAAGGCGACGAUCACUAACUGUCUAUGAGGAUCGAUGCACCACACUGGACUUGGAGACACGGCCCAUCUACGGAUGGCAGCAAGUGGGAAUAUGACAAUGGGCGCAAGCCUAGAUCCAUCCGCCUCGUGAAGUAUGAUAGGCUUAGGGGUGAAGCUUUCACCGAGAAGAUUAUGACGGUAUCCGGAAGAAGAAGCCCCGGCUAACUUGUGCCAGCAGCCCGCGGUAAUACGAAGGGGCAGCGUUGUUCGGAAUUACUGGGCGUAAAGCGCACGUAGGCGGAUAUUUAAGUCUAGGGUGAAAUCCCAAGCUCAACUCUGGAAACUGCCAUUGAUACUGGUAUCUUGAGUAUGGAAGAGGUAGUGGAAUUCAUGUUAGAGGUGAAAUUGUAAUAUUCGGAGGAACACCAGUGGCGAAGGCGGUUACUGGUCCAUACUGACGCUGAGGUGCGAAAGCGUGGGGAGCAAACGGAUUAAUACCCUGGUAGUCACGCCGUAAACGAGAAUUUACCGUCGGGCAGAUACUGUUCGGUGGCGCAGCUAACGCAUUAAACAUUCCGCCUGGGGAGUACGGUCGCAAGAUAAAAUCAAAGGAAGACGGGGGCCCGCACAAGCGUGGAGCAUGUGGUUUAAUUAAGCAACGCGCAGACCUACCCUCUGACAUUCGGGGUAUGGGCAUGGUAGACGAUGUCCUUCAGUAGUGGCCCCAGAACAGUGUAGCAUGGCUCGUUCAGCUGUGUCGCUGAGAUGUAUGGUUAACGUCCCGGCAACGAGCGCAACCCUCGCCCUUAGUGCCAGCAUUUUAGGUUGGGCACUCCUAAGGGACUGCCCGCUGAUACCUGAGUAGAAGGGGGGAGAGUCAAGUCUCUGCCUUCGGCUGGCUACCACGAUGCUCAAUGGUGUGACGGCAGCAACAGAGUGAUAUUUCAAAAGCCAUCUCUUCGGAUUGCACUCAUGCCACUUCGAGGCAUGACCAGUUGGAUCGCUAGUAAUCGCAGAUCAGCAUGUUGCGGUGAAUACGUUCCCGGGCCUUGUACACACCGCCCGUCACACCAUGGGAGUUGGUUUUACCCGAAGGUAGUGCGUUAACCGCAAGGAGGCAGCAACCACGAUGUUCCAUUCCGACGCUUAAACUCGGU